rnacentral:lncRNA from 1 species
UCCUAAGUCAUUUUCGAUGACGUAACUUUCGAAUUGACGAUUGGCUUUAUUAGACUUAAUCUAGUAUAUUUGUGCUAUCUAAAAAAUAAAUUUUGUAAUUUUUCGAUAUCAUUUACUUAGUGAUCGAAAGGAUUUACAAUCAACAGUUAAAAAUAAAAAUCUCACAAAAAAGUUAUGAUGUAGUACUAAAAUUUUCGAUCAGAAAUAUUGAUCUUGUUGUAGAUAGUAUAAAAAAAUUUUCUAUCAAAAUUUCAUUUGAUUUGAAUACUUUCUACACCGUUAAACUUGCAAACGGCAUAUAUCAACUAUUAAAAAUUGUUGAUUUUGAAUCUUUUCGAUCACUUGGUAAAUAAUAUAAAAAAUCUGCAAAAAUUAAUUUCUAGGUACUUCAAAUACGCUAGAUCACGUCUAACGGAGCCGAUCAUCGAUUCAAAAAGUCCCAUCAUCGAAAACGGCUUGGGAGUACGGAGAACUCCGUGCUCCUAAUAGCAUACAAGACCUACUCUAUAGUUCUCAUAUCUUUUUUAUUAAUAUUUUAUUUCAGAGCCUUCAGCACCAGCGACUAAUCGAGAUAAGGGGAUUGUCGAUAGUUAGCAUCUUUUACCCUCUUUGUGUGUAGCUGGAUCACCUAGCUGUAUAUAGCAUCUAGUAUAGUAUUUUGAGGUUUGAAGUGGUCAGAGAUAUUGUACCAUUUUAAGCAUUGGUGUAGCGAUAAUUGUAUAUUUAUAGUGUUGCUGUAGUAUAUAGUUUUUAUUUUACUCUGAUACUUGCUAUUGUUAGAGUUUAAUUAAUUUUUUUUUGGACAGUUUUUGUUGACGUUUCGUAUGUAUAAGGUGUAUCCUUAUGCAUGUGGCGGAUCUGUUGACGUAAUUCGAAUUUUUGAUCUGGGGUGUGACAGUGGUGUUAGGAGAUAUAGGAAAUAAGGAUUUCAUUGAUCCAUGACUAAUUAGCAGUUUCGCUGAAUUAGGUCAUUUCUUGAACUUCAUAACCUGCAAGAAUUGCCAAGAUUUCAUGGUAAGU